GCCUGGAAAGGACGGUAAAAAUGCCCAUGGAUAUGUGGCAUGCUGCCAGCCAGCCUGACAUUCACUGCAGGGUUUUCCAGACUGGUAGAGGCUUGCAGUGAGAAGAGGAUGUGGAUGUCCCCUGGAGGUGCUGAUUCAGCAGAGAAAAAGAAAACACCCCCCAUUUUGCUGAGCCCCAGCAGGGUGAACAGAGGGAAAAGGUGCUCCAGGGCAGGAAGAAACUGUGAAGAAAUAGGUUUGGACAAGAGUUGAAGGAUUGUAUGCCCAAUUGAACCUACUACUGAAAGCAACAAGCUGGAUGAGCUCUCUCCCUCGCCUUGGUAUAUAGGAUAGGUGAGCAACACCUACACAAGCACCACACCGCUUCCUCUAGCAGGCCGGGAGCUGUGCUGGAGCUCGCCCAUCUGACCCAGUCCUCCACAUGAGAUCUGGCAAGAUAAUCGCUCCAAGUGUCUGGAAAGAACAUCUUGCUUUCUCUACUGCUCCUGAAGGAAUCAAGGACAAAUGAUGGAGACAGAGUUGCUCACCACCAUCUUGACUGGAGAAGACACAGGAAGCUCUUUGCACCACCACCUCUGAACCUACGUGCUCUGCCCUGUCCAUUGUGCCUCCCGCUCCCAGCCUGGGCAUGGGCUUCUGUUAUACAGCGUGCCACAUUUAUUUCCUGCAUUAAAUCAGAGCCCCCUGGGAUCUGGUUCCCAAGCUGCCGUUUCACGAUGAGGACAUUCACCACCAGGCCCACCAUGGGGUGCGUCCCCCACGGGAAUAGAGAAGUGCUGAAGCUGAAAGUGGGUCCAGCCCCGGGUAAGCCAGGACAGCCCUGAUUCAGCAGAGCCCACCCGUGCUCAUCUCCAAGCACACCAAGAGCCCCGCCACCCUCGCUGGGAAGAGCCGCGUCCCUACGGCGUGCGCUAAGUGCUUUGCUGAACGGGGUCCAAGGUCCGGCCUGGAGCCACCCUGCUCCCGCCGACUCCCUCUUUGGCGCCGCACCGUGGAGUUGGCCCUCCUCUUGUGCUGGAGGACGUUACGAAAUCCUGGCCCUGACACAGAGCAGAUGCAUUAUUGGGAAGCCCUCGGGUCAUGAGAGGGCUAAUAGUCACAUUCCUGGCUGGGAUGGCGAAAGAUUUACGCUGGGCGCUCGCUCGCCUCGCCCUGCACCAGGCCGGCUCCCUACUUCACCAGCCCCCUCGGCUUUAA